rnacentral:rRNA from 1 species
GUCCACGCCCUAAACGAUGCACACUAGACGGAUGCGGCUCUGACGUCGUAUCGGUCGAAGAGAAAUUGAUAAGUGUGCCGCCUGGGGAGUACGGUCGCAAGGCUAAAACUCAAAGAAAUUGACGGGGGCUCACACAAGCGGUGGAGCAUGUUGCUUAAUUCGAAGCAACGCGAAGAACCUUACCUGGGUUUGACAUGCACGGAUUAGUUGGCGGAAACGUCAAUGAGGCCCGCAAGGGUACAACGUGCACAGGUGCUGCAUGGCUGUCGU